GACGAACGCUGGCGGCGGGCGGAACAAAUGCAAGUCGAACGGUGAAGCGCUUUCCUUUUUGGUUGGUGUGGAUGAGUGGCGAACGGGUGAGUAACACGUGAGUAACCUGCCCCCUUCUUCUGGAUAACCGCAUGAAAGUGUGGCUAAUACGGGAUAUUCUGCGCCUGCUGCAUGGUGGGUGUGGGAAAGAUUGUGCCUUUGGGUGUGUUCGGUGGGGGAUGGGCUCGCGGCCUAUCAGCUUGUUGGUGGGGGGAGGGCCGACCACGGCGGUGACGGGUAGCCGGCCUGAGAUGUUGGACGGUCACACUGGGACUGAGACACGGCCCAGACUCCUACGGGAGGCAGCAGUGGGGAAUAUUGCACAAUGGGCGCCAGCCUGAUGCAGCGACGCCGCGUGAGUGCUGGAGGCCUUCUGGUUGUGCACCUCUUUCGCCAGUGAAGCAGGCCUGCUCCUUGUGGGUGGGUUGACGGUAGCUGGAUACGAAGCGCCGGCUCCCUACGUG
rnacentral:rRNA from 1 species